CAAGUCCACAGGCAAACCCGGUGCAAACCGGCGACGCAAAGCUAUAGGGGCCCAUCGGGUCAGCCAGUUGCCAAC
rnacentral:ncRNA from 2 species